rnacentral:rRNA from 1 species
AGAAUUKGCCCAUGCAUGUGUAAGCGAACAAUAGGGAGCUGCGGACUGCUCAGUAACAGGCGAUUAAUUUAAUCUUUACAAACGGACAAACUCAGGAAACAGAGUGUAAUACGUAAAAGACGAUUUCUUUAUAAAAAGAAAACGAUUUUAGCUUGAAUAAAGCGGUAAAGAAUAAGACGCCAACCCAUCAGUUAGUAAGUAGGGUAAGGGCCUAUUUAGACGAAUACGGGUACGGGGAAUUAGGGUUUGAUUCCGGAGAGGGAGCCUGAGAGACGGCUACCAGGUCCAAGGACGGCAGCAGGCGCGAAAAUUACCGAAGCUCAAAUAGAGGCGGUAGUAAUGAGACGUAUAAAAAUAAUAUAAGGGUAAAAAACUUAUUAAUAACUGGAGGUCAAGUCUGGUGCCAGCAUCCGCGGUAAUACCAGCUCCAGGGGUGUCUAUGAUGAUUGCUGCGAUUAAAAGGUCCGUAGUCGAAUUUAGAUAAUUGUUUGUAAUAUGUUAGAUAAAAUAAUAAAAAGAACAAUUAGUUAAAUGAAAGGAAUAGCAAGAGGUUGAUUAAUCGAGUAACGAGAGGUGAAAUUUGAUGACUUACUUGGGAGAAACAGAGGCGAAAGCGUCAAUCAAGUGUAAAUCCGAUGAUCAAGGACGUAGGCUGGAGUAUCGAACACGAUUAGAUACCGUAGUAGUUCCAGCAGUAAACUAUGCCUACGCCAUUGAAUGAAAGUUUGGUGGACGAGAAAUCUAGAGUAGGGCUUUGGGGGAGAGUACACGCGCAAGCGAUAAAUUUAAAGGGAAAUUGACGGAAGAACACCCACAAGGAGUGGAGUGUGCGGCUUAAUUUGACUCACGCGGACAGCUUACCAACCAAGACCUAC